rnacentral:rRNA from 1 species
CGGUGAAGCCAAGCUUGCUUGGUGGAUCAGUGGCGAACGGGUGAGUAACACGUGAGCAACCUGCCCUGGACUCUGGGAUAAGCGCUGGAAACGGCGUCUAAUACUGGAUAUGAGACGUGAUCGCAUGGUCGUGUUUGGAAAGAUUUUUCGGUCUGGGAUGGGCUCGCGGCCUAUCAGCUUGUUGGUGAGGUAAUGGCUCACCAAGGCGUCGACGGGUAGCCGGCCUGAGAGGGUGACCGGCCACACUGGGACUGAGACACGGCCCAGACUCCUACGGGAGGCAGCAGUGGGGAAUAUUGCACAAUGGGCGAAAGCCUGAUGCAGCAACGCCGCGUGAGGGAUGACGGCCUUCGGGUUGUAAACCUCUUUUAGCAGGGAAGAAGCGAAAGUGACGGUACCUGCAGAAAAAGCGCCGGCUAACUACGUGCCAGCAGCCGCGGUAAUACGUAGGGCGCAAGCGUUAUCCGGAAUUAUUGGGCGUAAAGAGCUCGUAGGCGGUUUGUCGCGUCUGCUGUGAAAUCCCGAGGCUCAACCUCGGGCCUGCAGUGGGUACGGGCAGACUAAAGUGCGGUAGGGGAGAUUGGAAUUCCUGGUGUAGCGGUGGAAUGCGCAAAUAUCAGGAGGAACACCGAUGGCGAAGGCAGAUCUCUGGG